GUAUUUUUAGUAGAGAUGGGGCUUCUCCAUGUUGGUCAGGCUGGUCCUGAACUCCCGACCUCAGGUGAUCUGCUCACCUCGGCCUCCCGAAGUGCUGGGAUUAUAGGCGGGAGCCACCGUGCCUGGCCAAUAUUGCUUAUAGUACAGGACUGUUGGUAAUAAAUUGUUAGGUUUGUUUUCUAAAGAAGUAUUCAUUUUGCCUUCAUUUUUGAAAAGUAUUUUCAUUGAGUAUAGAACUCUGGUUAAAAGUGGGUUUUUUCAAUAUUUUUUAAAUGUCACUUUAUUGUCUUCUGGUUUGCACAGUUUCUAAUGAAAAACCUGGUAUAAUUCUUAUCUUCGUUCCUCUGCAUUUAAUGUGUCUUCUGUUUUUGGUCGUCUUCAAAAUUUUCUCUUUCUCUUUGGUUUUCAGUAGUGUGGUGGGCGGCUAGGUUGCUAGAGGGUGUUUCUUUUCCUUUGAGACAAGCAUCUUGCUCUGUUGUCCAGGCUGGAGUACAGUGGUAUGAUUACAGCUCACUGCAGCCUCGAACUCCUGGGCAGGAGUCAGUACAGAGCAGCAAAUGUUGAGGUUUCACAGGGGCCUCUCUGGAAACCUCGCCCUCAAGGCCCUGGCUUGUCUUAAAGAGCUCUGAAAUGCCUCUGGGAUCAUCCUUCCAUUGCCUUAAUAAAUGGAACCUGGCUUUCCUCUAUUCCUACAAUCUCUUUAGCAAAUUUUUGCUUGGCUAUGGCCUUGGUUUGCUCUCCUAAAGAUGCCUUUUCACUCUUUACCAGGCCAGGCUGUGAAUUUUCUAAAUCUUUCUGCUCUGCUUUCCUUUUAGUGAUAAAUUCAAUCUUUAAAUUAUUUCUCAUCAGGCCUGGUGCGGUGGCUCACGCCUGUAAUCCCAGCACUUUGGGAGGCUGAGGCUGGUGGAUCACCUGAGGUCAGGAGUUGGAGACCAGCCUGGCCAAUGUGGUGAAACCCCAUCUCUACUAAAAAUACAAAAA
rnacentral:lncRNA from 1 species